AAAAAAGGCGCGAACUUCUCAGGAUCAAAAAGAGAAGUUGCUGGAAAAGCUCAGCGGGUCUGGCAGCAUCUGUGAAGAAACAAAAAAAAAAAUCACAGUUAACGUUUCGGGGUCCGGUGGCCCUUCCUCAGAACUCCUCUUCCCCGCCGGCGCUGGGCUCAACGGCUGAGCAUUUCCAGAACCUUCCAGCAGAACGUUCCACCACCACCCCCAACGAAGGAUGGCCUCACACGGCGAAUGAACGAUUGAAAAAAAUGCAUCAAAACAUCGGAGAAGUAUGGAGUGUUGUUGGCCAGAUUUCCAGCAUCCGCAGCUCUUUGGCUUUUCUCUUUUUUUGCGAAAUGUCGAGAGUUGGCUCCUUGCCAGGAAAGGACAUAAACCAUUAUAAUGUUUACACAGCUGCAGGCAGAGAGAGAGAGAGAAAUACUGAGUGGAAUGUGUAAAGACUGCCUGGGGUCGCUUCUUCUGGCGUGAAAUUCCAGAAGUAAACUGUACGAGGUAGCUUCAGAAACACUCACUCCACAUCGCUGUCACCAGAGUGGGCAACGGUAUUUCGAAAAUGGUAUUAAAUCAGAUAAGAGAUACAAAAUGUUAGCGGAUUCACGUGUAGGGACUAUGCAAAUAUACGUUGUUAUUGCUGACGGUUAUGUUUAGAAUCUCCCUAAACAACGCCACGUGUAACACUUCAGUUCCUAGUUUCAACACACAAUGCAGAGACAACGUUUACAACAAUGUACAACAGUCAUAUAUCCAGAAUGAAUGUUCUAUCUUAGGAACAAUAGGAAUUUUCAGUCAACCCUACGCUUCCUGUUACUUGGACCCCAUGAUUAAACAUGUCUAACAUGGAAGCAUUGGAGAACUCCCAGCUUCUUUCCUCAGCAAAACCCCUGGAUCAGAUCUGUAUCAGAAUCAGAGAAGAUGGACCUCCAUUGUGUCUUGGCGGUGGUGCACUGACAGUUCAAAGUCUAUCUGUCCAGUAAAAGGAUUGUAGAUCUGGAGCAACUCACACAUCAAAGAGAUCAUGCUCAACAGGAACAGCUACGGAAAUAUUGGCUUGAGCUCCAAGCAACACUGGAGAACAUGACAAACCUGCAAAAUUAGAUGGAGAAGUACAACACACACAUCAAGGAGCUGCAAUUCACUCAGAGACAGCCCCUUUCAAAACUAAAUGCUAGCUCCAGUGCUCCAGCAAAAUAACGCGGCAAGAUAUGGAAGAAACCAAAUAACCACUCAGCAGCAAGUGGAAGAGGACCAGGUAUGAAAUAAAAUAAAAGGUGAAGAAAACAUUGAAGGGCCAGACAAUUAUUGCAGCAGGAUAUGAAGGAGAAAAUAUACUGGAGCGACAAAACAUGAAAUCUUUGAUCGAAUUAGAAGAACCCAUGGUAAAAAAAAAGCAGAAGCUUCAAAUGAGCUAGAAACUGUUAAGAAAUGAAAAGUAAAUACUGAAAAGGUUUGAAAACAGCUUGAGGAACGAGAUCAGGCAGCAGUUGAUCUGGAACAAAACUUGGCCAUGCUGCAUCAGAACGAACAAAGUCUAGGACAGCAGCUGUAGCCCGUGAAAUAAAAACCUGACGACAAACAGGAGUAACAGGCAAUAUCACUGAUGCCAUGGCAAUCAAUAGCACCUCCGGACAAAGUCACCAUCAUGGAAACAAAAUAUUGCAGAUGCUGGAAAUCU